AUUGAACGCUGGCGGCAGGCCUAACACAUGCAAGUCGAGCGGAUGAGGACAGCGUGCUUUUCGAUUCAGCGGCGGACGGGUGAGUAAUGCCUAGGAAUCUGCCUGUUAGCGGGGGUUAACUCGGGGAAACUCGGGCUAAUACAGCAUACGUCCUGCGGGAGAAAGUGGGGGAUCUUCGGUCCUGACGCUAACAGAUGUGCCUAGGUCGGAUUAGCUAGUAGGUGAGGUAAUGGCUCACCUAGGCGACGAUCCGUAACUGGUCUGAGAGGAUGAUCAGUCACACUGGAACUGAGACACGGUCCAGACUCCUACGGGAGGCAGCAGUGGGGAAUAUUGGACAAUGGGCGAAAGCCUGAUCCAGCCAUGCCGCGUGUGUGAAGAAGGUCUUCGGGUUGUAAAGCACUUUAAGUUGGGAGGAAGGGUAUUCACCUAAUACGUGGGUACUUUGACGUUACCAACAGAAUAAGCACCGGCUAACUCUGUGCCAGCCGCCGCCGUAAAAC
rnacentral:rRNA from 1 species